rnacentral:rRNA from 1 species
GACGAACGCUGGCGGCGUGCCUAAUACAUGCAAGUCGAACGCAUUUUCUUUCACCGUAGCUUGCUACACCGAAAGAAAAUGAGUGGCGAACGGGUGAGUAACACGUGGGUAAACUGCCCAUCAGCGGGGGAUAACACUUGGAAACAGGUGCUAAUACCGCAUAAUUCCAUUUACCGCAUGGUAAAUGGAUGAAAGGCGCUUUUGCGUCACUGAUGGAUGGACCCGCGGUGCAUUAGCUAGUUGGUGGGGUAACGGCCUACCAAGGCUGCGAUGCAUAGCCGACCUGAGAGGGUGAUCGGCCACACUGGGACUGAGACACGGCCCAGACUCCUACGGGAGGCAGCAGUAGGGAAUCUUCGGCAAUGGACGCAAGUCUGACCGAGCAACGCCGCGUGAGUGAAGAAGGUUUUCGGAUUGUAAAACUCUGUUGUUAGAGAAGAACAAGGAUGAGAGUGGAAAGUUCAUCCCUUGACGGUAUCUAACCAGAAAGCCACGGCUAACUACGU